CCAGACAGCCAGGAUGUUGGCUUAGAAGCAGCCAUCAUUUAAAGAAAGCGUAAUAGCUCACUGGUCGAGUCGGCCUGCGCGGAAGAUGUAACGGGGCUAAACCAUGCACCGAAGCUGCGGCAGCGACACUAUGUGUUGUUGGGUAGGGGAGCGUUCUGUAAGCCUGUGAAGGUGGCCUGUGAGGGUUGCUGGAGGUAUCAGAAGUGCGAAUGCUGACAUAAGUAACGAUAAAGCGGGUGAAAAGCCCGCUCGCCGGAAGACCAAGGGUUCCUGUCCAACGUUAAUCGGGGCAGGGUGAGUCGACCCCUAAGGCGAGGCCGAAAGGCGUAGUCGAUGGGAAACAGGUUAAUAUUCCUGUACUUGGUGUUACUGCGAAGGGGGGACGGAGAAGGCUAUGUUGGCCGGGCGACGGUUGUCCCGGUUUAAGCGUGUAGGCUGGUUUUCCAGGCAAAUCCGGAAAACCAAGGCUGAGGCGUGAUGACGAGGCACUACGGUGCUGAAGCGACAAAUGCCCUGCUUCCAGGAAAAGCCUCUAAGCAUCAGGUAACAUCAAAUCGUACCCCAAACCGACACAGGUGGUCAGGUAGAGAAUACCAAGGCGCUUGAGAGAACUCGGGUGAAGGAACUAGGCAAAAUGGUGCCGUAACUUCGGGAGAAGGCACGCUGAUAUGUAGGUGAAGCGACUUGCUCGUGGAGCUGAAAUCAGUCGAAGAUACCAGCUGGCUGCAACUGUUUAUUAAAAACACAGCACUGUGCAAACACGAAAGUGGACGUAUACGGUGUGACGCCUGCCCGGUGCCGGAAGGUUAAUUGAUGGGGUUAGCGGUAACGCGAAGCUCUUGAUCGAAGCCCCGGUAAACGGCGGCCGUAACUAUAACGGUCCUAAGGUAGCGAAAUUCCUUGUCGGGUAAGUUCCGACCUGCACGAAUGGCGUAAUGAUGGCCAGGCUGUCUCCACCCGAGACUCAGUGAAAUUGAACUCGCUGUGAAGAUGCAGUGUACCCGCGGCAAGACGGAAAGACCCCGUGAACCUUUACUAUAGCUUGACACUGAACAUUGAGCCUUGAUGUGUAGGAUAGGUGGGAGGCUUUGAAGUGUGGACGCCAGUCUGCAUGGAGCCGACCUUGAAAUACCACCCUUUAAUGUUUGAUGUUCUAACGUGGGCCCCUAAUCGGGGUUGCGGACAGUGUCUGGUGGGUAGUUUGACUGGGGCGGUCUCCUCCUAAAGAGUAACGGAGGAGCACGAAGGUUGGCUAAUCCUGGUCGGACAUCAGGAGGUUAGUGCAAUGGCAUAAGCCAGCUUGACUGCGAGCGUGACGGCGCGAGCAGGUGCGAAAGCAGGUCAUAGUGAUCCGGUGGUUCUGAAUGGAAGGGCCAUCGCUCAACGGAUAAAAGGUACUCCGGGGAUAACAGGCUGAUACCGCCCAAGAGUUCAUAUCGACGGCGGUGUUUGGCACCUCGAUGUCGGCUCAUCACAUCCUGGGGCUGAAGUAGGUCCCAAGGGUAUGGCUGUUCGCCAUUUAAAGUGGUACGCGAGCUGGGUUUAGAACGUCGUGAGACAGUUCGGUCCCUAUCUGCCGUGGGCGCUGGAGAACUGAGGGGGGCUGCUCCUAGUACGAGAGGACCGGAGUGGACGCAUCACUGGUGUUCGGGUUGUCAUGCCAAUGGCACUGCCCGGUAGCUAAAUGCGGAAGAGAUAAGUGCUGAAAGCAUCUAAGCACGAAACUUGCCCCGAGAUGAGUUCUCCCUGAGACUUAGAGUCUCCUGAAGGAACGUUGAAGACGACGACGUUGAUAGGCCGGGUGUGUAAGCGCAGCGAUGCGUUGAGCUAACCGGUACUAAUGAACCGUGAGGCUUAACCUU
rnacentral:rRNA from 1 species